CGAAUUUUGCUUCAAAUACUGGUCACAUGGCGAAGGAACUUCAAAUUGUCUUCCCGGUUAUGAAGUUGUGGUAGAGCAUCCUUACCCGUCUGGAAUAAUAAAAUGUUUAAUUUAUAUUAUUACAUGUGUUCAGUGUUUUUAAUUUUACGAUAAAUAAUAUCAGCUUAAUAUGUGCAAUAAAUACACAAACAGGUUUCCAUAGUUGGUAUUGAACAACUUUUAAUAUUUGAGUAUUUCCCUUAUGGCCAGCUAUAGUUUAGGUUGGUUACGGAUUGUUUUUCAUGGUUCAUCGGUUCGUUUCUUAAUUAUUGGUCACAUGACAGUUCUUGGUCAGUGUAAGAUUCAGUUUGAAUUUAGAAAUUGAAUUGGGCAGUUGUGUCAUACUUUAGUUGAAAACUUUGGACAUUUGGACUUACAGACUACAAUCUACUAAUCAGAUAUACACCAGAUCUACACAUUACUAUAGAUCCAUCCGGAUUCUAAUACCACAUAUUUGGUAAGACUGUGUUAUGUAUUGUUUAGGUGGUGUUUGAUAUGUUUGUCUUGCCAUUAUAUGUUCUGGACAGGUUCUUAGUUUAAAUGCAGAAUAUUAAGUAAAUUUGAUUAAUUAUGAUUUUAUAUUAAUGAUG